rnacentral:misc_RNA from 1 species
GAUGAAGAACGUAGCGAAAUGCGAUAAGUAGUGUGAAUUGCAGAAUUCAGUGAAUCAUCGAAUCUUUGAACGCACAUUGCGCCUCCUGGUAUUCCGGGAGGCAUGCCUGUUCGAGCGUCAUUAAAAUCACUCAAGCUUAGGUUUGCCUAUUGCUUGGUCUUGAAGAUGGAAGCUAAGUAAUUAGAAUCCUCUUCGAAAUCCAAUGGCGAAGACCCUUGCUCUCCCAAGUGUAGUAAUAACUUAUUCACUGAAGGAAGCGAGUAAUCUUCCGCCGUAACCCCCAUAUUUUCUAUGAUUGACCUCGGAUCAGGUAGGGAUACCCGCUGAACUUAAGCAUAUCAAUAAGCGGAGGA